AAAUUAAUAAUUAAUAAAUAAUAAAAAAAAUUUUAAUAUUAAAAAAAAAUAAUGGGGGUUAGAGUAUUUUUAAUAGAAAAAAUUAAUAGUUUUAUAGUUAAGUAUUACUGUAAAGGAAAUUAUAAAUAAAUGAAAAUUAAUUAAAAUAAAAGUAAAUUUAAUUUGUUGUAUCUUGUGUAUCAGAGUUUAUUAAAUAUUAGUAAUUUAUUUAAAUAAAUCUCGAAUUUAAAAGAGUUAAUUAGUUAAAAAAGUUAAUGUUGAAUAAUUAUUUUAAAUAACUAAUUAGAAAUGAAAUGUUAAUCGUUUUUAAAUAUAUCUAGUUUUUUUAGAAAAAAAUUUAAUUUUAAAUUUAAAUAAUUUUAUAAUUUUUUAAUUAAUUAUAAAAAUUUAAAAUUUAAUAUUUUAGGGGAUAAGCUUUAAAUUAAAAUAUUAUAAUUAAUAAAAAUAAAAAUUAAAAUUUUUAAAAUUUAUAUUGUUUAAAAAUUAUAGUUUAUUAUAAAAAAUUUUAAUUAAAAUAAAAUUUAAAUGAAUUUAAUUUUUUAUAAAAAAAUAAUUUUUAACAGGAAAAAAUUAAUAAUAAUGAUAAAAUUAGUAUAUUAUAAUAAUAAAAUGGAAAAAUUAAUUUAAAUUAAAUUAAAGGAAUUCGGCAAAAAUUUAUAUUCACUUGUUUAUCAAAAACAUGUCUUUUUGAUAAUAAUUUAAAGUCUAAUCUGCCCACUGAUAUAAUUAUUAAAGGGCUGCAGUAUAUUGACUGUACAAAGGUAGCAUAAUCAUUAGUCUUUUAAUUGAAGACUUGUAUGAAAGAUUUGAUGAAAUAUAAACUGUCUCUAAUUUAUUGAAAUAAAAUUUAAUUUUUUAGUAAAAAAGCUAAAAUAAAAUUAAAAGACGAGAAGACCCUAUAGAGUUUUAUAAUUAAAUUAAUUGAUUUAAAAUAUAUAAAUAUGAAAAUAAAAUUAUUUUAAUUAUUUUAUUGGGGUGAUAGAAAAAUUAAAAAAACUUUUUUUAAAAAUUAACAUUAAUAAGUGAAUAAAUGAUCCAUUAAUAAUGAUUAUAAGAAAAAAUUACCUUAGGGAUAACAGCGUAAUAUUUUUUUUUAGUACAAAUAAAAAAAAAAGUUUGCGACCUCGAUGUUGGAUUAAGAUAAAAUUUAAAUGCAAAAGUUUAAAAUUUUGAUCUGUUCGAUCAUUAAAAUCUUACAUGAUCUGAGUUCAAACCGGUGUAAGCCAGGUUGGUUUCUAUCUUUAAUAAAAAUAAAUAUUUUAGUACGAAAGGAUCAAAUAUUUAAAAUAAUUUUAAUUGAAUGAAUAUUAAUAAUA
rnacentral:rRNA from 1 species